rnacentral:lncRNA from 1 species
AAAAUUAAUUACAAAUAAAGGCAAUCCCCACUAAUCUGUGGUUAAUUAAUUACAAGACGUGGGCUUAUAAUUUCUAAUCUAUAGUUGUGUAAAAUUCAGCAAGGACCUCCUGUAGUCAAAAGAGUCCAUAGAAUUAUGUAUGGACCAUAAUAUAUAAAUAUGAACGUACACCUUCAGCUGGUUCUUUCCUACUUCUGUGUUUUGAAUGAGAAAGGAGGGGGAGUUCUCAUGCUAAGAGUAGCAGACUGAACAAAAAAAGGAAUAAGGAUGGAAAAUGACACCUCAAAAGAAAAAAAAAUGUUGACAUUGCAAUAGCCAUGCAUUCAUAAUAGAGCCAACUUGAUUAGUACAGGGAAUCUAUAUCAAUCAAAAUUGCUAUCAGGAUAUGGGUAUCAAAAGUCUUGAACAUCUUUCUCAGGCUAACUUAUUCAUCGGGGAGGCCAUCCAAUUGAUAUAUAACUGAUGGAAACCUUUUAUUACAUGAACCCAUUGAACCAACUUUAUAUUAAUUCAAUUCAAGCCUGUUCCUUUAAUUCAUCAAUCCUAGCUGUUGCCUGUGGCUUUGAAGUCUUAUUUUGCAGAUUAUACAUGACCCACUCAUUGCAUGCUCCAUGCCCAAAUUAUGAUACAUAUCCAUCAUUUUGAUAUAGCAGGUCAUAGAAUGUCACAUUUUUUUGGACUUAGUACCACAAGGCCAGAACAAGUCUCCAAUAAUAUGGCACUAGGUGCAUCUUACCUCCAGGCUUUAAUGUAUGGCUAACUUCAUUAAACUCCAGUCUAGAAUCUUUUGUCAUCAUGCAAUAUACCAUUUUGGAGCGCUAUAAAAAAGUUCCCUUUUCUGCUAAAAUGGCCGAGGAAAAACUUCAGUCCUAAAUCUUCUCCUUGGUUCUCCAUGAAAGAGCUUCAGCAAUGGAGAAGACAACUUGCUUUCUGUUAUUGCAAGAAGAUGGUUUUAUGUACAGAUUUGUUUAACAACUAGACUAACAAGCUACAGGUGUAACCAUUCAACUAAUCAAGAUAUCAUUUUGGUGGGGAGUCCGUUAAGCAACUGCUGAUCUAGUUAGGUUCUUGAUGUUUAUCAUCCCCUUGCAAGCUCAUUGGGCGUGGGACUAUUGAUAAUUUGGAACUAAACGUGAAGAACAGUGAACUUGGAAGAUGUUUUGUGAAAAUAUUAGCUACCUGACUUGUGGAAGUAAUGUAUUGUAUGAUCAGAUCUUUUUGAAGGACUUUGUCAUGAAUGAAGUGUAAGUAUAGUUCAAUGUGUUUGGAGCGUGCAUGAAGUACGGGAUUGGCAGCUAAGGUAGCUGCACUUUGAUUGUCACACCAAACUAGAGGAGGAAGAACUUGAGGUAUGCACAACUCCUUCAAAAUUGAUUGUACCCAAGUUAUCUCAGCUGUAAGAGAUGCAAGACCUCGCCAUUCCAAUCCUGAACUACUUCAGGAGACUACCUUUUGUUUAGUGGAGGACCAUGAGACCAAGUCGGGUCCUAGGAAGAGACAAUAUCCACCAGUGCUGUGGCGAUCAUCAAGACAAGAUGCCUAAUAUGCAUUAGUAUACCCUUGAAUAUCAAGGGAGGAAGAAACAUGUAGUAGCGAGGGUGUGCCUUUCAGAUAGCGAAGGAUUCUCUUGACUGCACACCAGUGAGUUGAGCCAUAAAUUGGCGAGCUUUGUUAACAACAAAGGAUAGGUCCGGUCUUGUGAGAGUUACAUAUUGAAGGGCCCCAAUCAUGCUUCUGUAUAGAGUAGGAUCAGGAAGAGGAUCUCCAUAAACCAUAAGAGUUGUUUACCCAGAGCACCCGGGGUGAUAACUGAUUUAGCAUCAAGCAAAUUGGUUCUUUUGAGAAGGUCCUGAAUAUACUUCCAUUGGUUGAGAUGGAGGGAAUUUAGUCAAUGAGUGCUUCAACACCCAAAAAAUAACUGAGAGUGCCAAGGUCCCGAAGUGCAAAUGUGUUGCUUAGGUGAGAAAUGAAGGAAUUUACUGGAGAGGUAUCACUACCGGUGAUGAGAAUGUCAUCUACAUAGAUUAAAAGAAAUAGAAUUUCUGUAUCUAUGUGCCGGAAAAACAAAGAGCUGUCAGCCCGGAAGCAUUGAAAUCCCAAUUCAAUUAGAGAGUUACUUAAUUUGGUGAACCAAGCUCUGGGGGCUUGUUCGAGGCCAUAGAGGACUUUGUGAAGACAGCAUACAUGGGAUGGGAAUUGGUUAUUGAUAAACCCAGGUGGAUGGUGAAUGUAGACUUGUUCCUGAAGAUCCCUAUUAAGGAAUGCAUUCUCGAUAUCUAGUUGUCAUAUCGGUCAAUGUGAGGAUAGAGCUAGGGUGAGCAUGAUACGAAGGGUUGAGGGUUCCACCACUGGAUUGAAAAUCUAAAACUAGCCAUUAUACAACUGUUAUUGUUGACAUAUUUGAGGAACCCAUGACUUGACAACUGGUAUUGUUGACGUUUUGGUUGCCCCUUCAAGCCAUUAUACAAGAGGAAAUACAAGGCUAUAUAUCAGGAGCAUGGGGAUGGUUUGUAACCUGUAACUAACUUAUAACAAACUCCCAGCUCAAAAAUUAGCUUAUUACAACAAGAAAAACAAAAAAUACCUCAAUCAGUUUAAUAUAAGUAAAUUUCAAAGAUGAUGUGUUACACAAUUGAAUGAAUCCUAAUUUCGUUGAGACCAAAAUAUUCCAUUACUUUAAAAGCUAGGUGUUAUACAUUCCAAAAAAUUUAGCCUGAGACAGGCCGUGAUUUGGUUUCAACUCCCUUAUGAAAUCUAUGGAAUAUCGUAAUAAUACACUAAAUUCUUUUCCAAUGUUUGGGUAUUCAAUCAUCAAUUAUCCAUUGUUUUAUAUGAUGAGAAACCAUUCUCUUGUAAUUAUGGAUGACACGUUACGGUGAUGCACCAAAUAGGACAAGAACAUCCUCCUAAUAGCACGUAGUUCAAUAUUAGAGCAAUUAAUACAAAAAGAAAACAUCCUAAACUACGAAUAAUUUAGGAUUCCAGACACGAACUAGGUAGAGAUUUUUAUACAGAAGAGAACAAUUCUAGUAAUAAUUUAACCAACUAAUAUUAAACAAAGUAGCUGAUGGAGAUGGGUCCAAAUCACAACAUUUUAAUUUUCAAGGCACGUAGAUAAGCGUAUCGAAGGUUUUCCUUGGCAGUAUUAUUUGAGAUCAGUGUGUUAUGGGAGGGAAUUUUUCCUAUAUAAACCCCUGCUGCAAUCUCCGAGUGUAUCAAUCUGCUUACUCAUUUAAUUCAUCAAUCCCUACUGCUUCCAAUAUCAUGGCUUCUGUUAACCAGUACCAAUACAUCUGUUUGGCUUUGCUCUUUGUUCUGGCUGCUUGGGCAUCUCAAGCCACAGCCCGCAACCUUCAUGAGGCAUCAAUGUAUGAGAGACAUGAGGAUUGGAUGGCUCAGUAUGGGCGUGUAUAUAAGGAUGCUGACGAGAAAAGCAAGCGCUACAAGAUAUUCAAGGAUAAUGUGGCACGUAUAGAAUCUUUCAACAAGGCCAUGGACAAAUCUUACAAGCUGAGCAUCAAUGAAUUUGCAGAUCUUACCAACGAAGAGUUCGGAACCUCACGAAAUAGAUUCAAGGCCCACAUCUGCUCCACCGAAGCAACUUCUUUCAAAUACGAGAAUGUUACUGCAGUGCCAUCUACUAUUGAUUGGAGAAAGAAAGGAGCUGUUACACCCAUCAAGGACCAAGGCCAAUGCGGUAAGUGAAAAUAUUUUUGUAGUAUGGUUUGAAAUGAAUGUUUUUCUCACUUUUUUAUGAUAAAAAAAUGCAGGGUCUUGCUGGGCAUUUUCGGCUGUGGCAGCUAUGGAAGGAAUUACUCAGCUAUCGACUGGGAAGCUAAUCUCUCUUUCCGAACAAGAGCUGGUUGACUGUGACACUAGUGGGGAGGAUCAAGGCUGCAAUGGUGGUCUAAUGGACGAUGCCUUCAAAUUCAUAAAAACAAAAUCAUGGUCUCACCACCGAAGCUAACUACCCCUACGCGGGAACUGAUGGCACCUGCAACCGCAAGAAGGCAGCCCACCCUGCAGCCAAGAUAAAUGGGUAUGAAGAUGUGCCAGCCAACAAUGAGAAGGCUCUACAAAAGGCUGUUGUCCACCAACCUAUUGCCGUUGCCAUUGAUGCUGGGGGGUUUGAGUUCCAAUUCUAUUCAAGUGGUGUGUUUACAGGACAGUGUGGCACAGAACUAGACCAUGGUGUUGCUGCGGUUGGUUACGGAACCAGCGAUGAUGGGAUGAAGUAUUGGCUGGUGAAGAACUCAUGGGGCACAGGAUGGGGCGAAGAAGGUUACAUACGGAUGCAGAGGGAUGUGACUGCAAAGGAAGGUCUCUGUGGAAUUGCAAUGCAAGCAUCUUACCCCACCGCAUAAAAUUAAUUGAAAAAAGGCAAUCCCUACUAUCCUGUGGUUAAUCAAUUACAAGAUAUGUUGCGCGGAUAAUUUCUAAUCUAUGGUUGUGUAUAAUUCAGCAAGGAUCCCCUGUAGUCAAAAGAGUCCAUAAAAUUAUGUAUGGACCAUAAUAUAUAAAUAUGAACGUACGCCUUCAGUUGGUUCCUUCCUAUUUCUGUGUUUUGAAUGAGAAAUAACGGGAUCUCAUACCAAAAGUAUCAGACUAAAUAAAGAAAAAGAGCAAGGAUGGAAAAUGACACAAAAAAAAAGGAAGACAAUUUUUUGUUAACAUUGCAAUUAGCCAAAACAAUUUCUUAGCUUUAUGCAACAUACCAACACCACCACUAGCAAGCAAGAUAUCAUCAACAUAUAUAAUCGAAAAUACAAAUUUGGUCUUACCAACCUUUAGAUAAACACAACAAUCAAUGGUGUUUCUUAAUUCAAAGGAAGUUACUAUGUCAUUCAACUUAAGAUACAAUUGUUGAGAGGCUUGUUUAUGUAGGGAAUACUUGGAUUACACCAUUCACUAUCCUAAGACCGGUUAAGGUGCAUGCAAUAUUUCUUAGGGCCUUUAGAUCUUAGCAACAUAAGCAACAAAUAUAAAAAACAAUCAAGAUCUAGAAUUUUGUACUUUACCUCAGAUGUGGGUAUUUCCAGAUAUAAUCCAGUUGGUGAAGAGGAGUGUCAAAGUCGUUGUAGUUGUAGAUAUCGCAAACCCACUAAUCUUCUACCACGAUGACUCUCUUUUUGAAUCUCGGAACUAGAGGGAUGAAAUCCUCUCUCUAGGGUUGUGGAUGACCUAUUAUGGAAUGUAUACACGAAUGCUGAUAAAAAGGACAAUUGUUACACAAUAUCUAAGCAUAAUGUGGCAUAUAUAUAUAGAAACUUUUGACAAUCCCAUGGACAAAACUUCUAUGCUAAGAAUGAAUGAAUUUGUAGGUCUAACUGAUAAAGAAUUCAUAGCCUCACAAAAUAUUUCAAGGUGCACAUUUGUUUUGUAGAAGCAACUUCCUUCAAAUAGAAAGAUGUUAGUUCCAUCCACAAUUAAAUAAAGGAAAAAAUGAGUUGUUGAAAAGUUCUCUUAAUAAUUUAUUUUUAAUCAUUCAUGAAAGCAAAAGAUCAUAAUUCCAAAAAAUUUUGAAUGUCAUGAUUUUUACUAACAUAAAUAUAAUUAAGUUAUUAGACAUACCGUGAUCCAUAAUUGAAACUUUGUUUCAAAUGAGGACCUUUGAACUUCAAUCCAUGGAAAAUCGAUACCUCUCUCUUAGCCCUAUUAAUUUUUUAUACAAUAAUAAUUAAUAUCAUUAAUGAUGGAUCUAUUACUUUUAUAGGUUGAGAGAGGACUAGUUUCAUAUCAUAAACAACUUAUUUUCCAUCAAAGUAAAAUUCCAAAAGAAAAUAUUACUGUAACACACUACAAUAGACAAAUUCAUACUUAAAUAAGUUAUCAUAAAUAGUAUAGUUAAUUAGAAUAAUAAUGUGAGUCAUGGCAGUUGUUUUUUAUUUAUUGUAACACAUUUUCUUCUAUAUACAAACUAGCAAUCUAAGUAACUCAGUCUAUAAAUAUGAAGUAUUAAUAAAUGUCUACAAUUAUGUCAUUACCAUAGACUACUCCUACAUAUCAUCAUUCAUUUAAUCUCUUAUAUGGACACAAAAGGAAAGAUAAGAAACAUCAAAAUCACAUUAUUUACUUGAAAACGUCACUUUAUAAUCAUAAUGCAAAUCUACAAGUUAUUAUUUAAUAAUCACAAUAAAGACUCAUCCUUUCCAUGUAUUCCUUAAAUGUCUCUAAUGGUAAUCUUUUCAUCAAGGGAUAAGCAAUAUUCAUAAACUUUAGACUUAUGUAUUUUAUUGGUACUUUUUGUUUUUAGGCCUCCUUUUCAACAAUAAAUUAUUUCAAUUCUAUGAAUCUCACACCCUUAGAAUAUUUGUGAUUCUUGGAGAAAAAGAUAGUUAUAGAAUUAUCCAAAUAAAUUUUUAGAGGCUUGACAAUAGAGUUGACAAAUUUAAGACCUAAAAUAAUGUCCCACAACACCACAAUUCAUGAAUUGUAACCUUAAAGAAAUCGAAAAUUUUGAAUUCCAUAGUAGAUGAAGCUAUGACAAAAUAUUUCACACUUUUUCAUGAGAUUGCUUCUUUUGCUAGUUAGAGCAAAUAAAUGAAAGUGGGCUUUUUUCUAUCAAGACAUCCAGAAAAAUCUAAAUUUAAUAUCUAAUUACUCCUAGAUGAUCAAAUCUCUUAAAUUUGAGCAUGUACUCUUUCAUUCCUAGUAGAUACUUUGAUAUCUUCUUUGCAAUUUUUAAUGAUCCAUUCUUGGAUUACUUUAUCAUGAUUUGCUCGGCAUGCUUACAACAAAGCUGAUAUUUGGACUGUUGCAAGUUUGGGUAGACAUCAGACUUGCUACAACACAUAAAUAAGGGAUUCUUUCCUUUUGUUUGUAUUUUAAAUCAUUUCUUGCACAUUAUAUGAGACUAAAUUUAUCCUUUUCCAUAUUAAUGCAAUAGUUGUGAAACAAUUUUCCAUUCCAAAUCUUUCUAGGACUCUAUAUAUUAUUAUAUGCAUUAUGAGAUAAUCCUAAUAAUUCAUGUGACCUAUCCUAUAAUAUUUUAAUUCCAAUCACACAAGCUACCUUUCCCAUAUCUUUAAAAGAUUUUUAGAUGCUUAGUUACCUAGAAUGUCUCUAAAAAUUGGAAAUUUAACAUCCUAAAUUAGUUUUAAAGGAAAUAGUUUAUAAAAAUAAUAAAUCUAACAAACAACUUUUUAUUUCUCUGCUAUUUUUGUUUUAUUUUCCUAGCAACCAAACAUAGUUUAAUGAAAACACAAAAACUUAGGGAAAAUAUGGAAGUAGAAAUACCAUGGAGAUAUUGAGUUUUCUACCAUUCACGUUGUUUCAAGGUAAGUUUGAGUUCCCCUCGAUAGGAUCUUACAUUUCUCUCCAAUGAGUUUGGGGCAUAUAACUCUAAUGGGUUUAGGACAUUAGAUCCUGGGUUGUUCCCUUACAAAUUUGUAAUCACCAUGCAAUCCUAAGAGAAAGAGAUAUGAUGAGGGUUGUUCGUUUAUCUUCUCUACAAUGGUGUUGUAGUGUCCUCUAGUGGGUUUAGGGCUAUGAAAUAGUGCCCCCAUUUUAAUCAAAGGUAUGUUUGGAUUUAAUCAUAAUUAGUUAAUGUUUGGUUUUAAUAUUUUGGAGAUCAUGUUGUCAUGUCAGCUUCCAAUCAACUAUUAUAUGAAAUAUGAUGUGACAUCUUACAAUGGUAUUUUUUACCCUUACUUUUUAUAGCCUCACAUCAAUUAUGGAACUUAUAUGGAUGUUGGACUAACUAUUAGCUUCUUCUAUCCCUAAAGCAUAAUUGUCUCAAAAUUAUUCAAGUAGGUUGAUUACUUGAAGAGAUUGUGAAGGUUCAUUGAAACCUUGGAAUCCAAGUGUAAAGAGUUUGAAGACUUUGACUUUAACCUUUACUCAGCUAGGAGCUUGAAGAAAGUGGACUUAGGUGACUUGCCGAACCACUAUAAAAGCGUUUGGAUUUCUCUUCUCUCAACUUCUUUAUAUUGAUUUGUACCUUAAUUUUAUCAUAUAUUAUGGUAAAUUAUUUACAAAAAGUUUUUAACACUCAAUUCUCCCCCCUUCUUAGGUAUUUUCUCAAGUUAAUUAGCCCUUUUCACAUAAAAGAGGAGAAAAACACUAUCUAGAAAAUCAAAUAAAAAAAAGAGAAAAUCAUACAUGGAAAACUAGAAGUCAUGGUUUGGAAAAUAAAAAGAGUUGAUCUUCCACUAUUCUGACAUUUUCCCUAUUAAAAAUUAACCAUAUCAUUUAUGGAGGAAUAUGUCUUAAGUAGGAAUGGCAACGGGGCGGGUUCGGGAUGGGUCACCCCCAUCCCAACCCCGUCCCGUUUAUUAAAAACAAUACUCAUCCCUGUCCCGUUUAGUUUUUUUUUUAAUUACUUUCAAAUUUUUUAAUUACAUUAAAAUAAAUAUAUUUUAUAAAUAAUAAAAUUAUUAUAUUUUUUAUAACUUAUUUUAUUAAAUUUUUUAUUAUUAUCUAUAUAUUAAAAAUAGUAAAAUAAAAUUUUAAAUUAAAUUAAUUUUAAAAUUAAUUUUAUAUAUAAUAGGGACGGCGGGGGGGAGGGGGGGAUGAGGCAAUACCUGAACCUGCCCCGGGUUUAAAAAAAAAAUUUCAUACCCGUCCCAAACUCGUUUAUUAAAUUUAAACCCCGUCCCAUUAGGGGCGGAGCGGGACGGGUACCCGAAAAAACCCGCCUCGUUGCCAUCCCUAGCCUUAAGUAGUUGUGUUGCUACUCGUGGUAUGGGAACCAUAAUAAGCAACAUGAUGUAUUUUGGAGGUAGGCUACCAUUAUUCAUCACAAUGCACUAAGAUAUUAUCUCAUAGGGGGUGAGGUCUACUCUAUGAGCAGUGAUUACAUGUACGUCUUAAUGGAUCCUAAUAAGUUCUCUCAUUCAUAAUUUGUUCUUGUGGUUUCAUUAAUUCCACCACUCAGAUUUGGAUUUGCGACAUAUUUUGGUUUCUUACAUUUUUUGUUCUACAGAUUAUCUGCUUAUGUUCAACAGGAUUGCCUUAAUUUAAACAAUAAUUUUCAAAAAUUAAUUUGCAAUAAUCUUAGGGUAGAUCUAGAACCAUGAACGCUUCCCUAGUGCUUGUCAAACUUGGCAUAUGUAAGACCAAUUCAAUGGGUCUCAUUUUAAGAGAAAGAAGAAGUGUGCAUUCUCUACCAUUGAUGUGGUUAAUCUACACAUGUUUUGACUGAACAAAAAACUUGAUGAAACAUUUGAACGCUAUGUUGACCAAGUAAGAGGGAAUAAAUCAACAAGUUCUCCAUGCGAUCUUGAGUACCCCCUAUCAAAUAACUUACUUGAUGUUUAUUGCUCUAUUAAAAAUGCAAAAUAUAAAUGGAAAAAUUGAAUAAAAAUGUCAAAGCAUGUGAGAAUACAAAAAUAUACCAUAGGAAUUUUUGAAAUUUCCAAAUGACAGAGUAUAGAGAUAUAUCAUCUCUAAUCCAUGCAUAACAUGUCUUAAUUAGUGAUCUACAAAAUGAACACUUUGACCUACUUAAACCAUUCAUUACUAGGCAUAACAUUACUUGAGUCCUAGAAAGACUAAAAAAAAGGUAUGGAACAUUAGAGUGAACCAAUGUCUUUAGCGGACAUGAUAAUCCAUAUUACAAUUGAAGAACAAAAUAAAAACCAAGACAAUGUUGAGAAAACCAAAGAACUUAUUAGGCUAAUCUAGUAAGACAAACCCAAAAGUAAUAGGAGUACUAAUAACAAUAAGAACAACAAUAAGUCCUAAAAUAAAAAAAAUAAAAAAAAUAAGAAAAUCUAACUCAAAUUCUAUGAACAAGUCUUAGAACCCCAAAAUUUAAAAAAAAAAAAGAAAAAAGAAAAAAGAAAUUGCUUCAUGUGUGGAAAGCCUGGGCAGCAUGCAACAUAAUGCAAACAUAGGAAGAGGAAUGAAGAACCAAAACCUAAGGCCCAUUUAGCUGAGAUUUAUGUGAUAACCAUAAUAGGUCUAGGUGGUAGACUCUAGGGAUACUAGGCACAUAUGUGGAGGGGAUGGUAAUGAACAAGUAUUUAUAGGUGACUUGAGGCCUUUGCUUGUGAUCAACAAAUUAAGGGAAUGUGCUUCUCAAGGCUUGCUCAUGUUAAUUUUUUUUUAUUUAUAUUAUUAAUAAAAAUGCUUUCUACUUGUAUUGUUGGCUCACAUGAUUUAUGGUAUGUCAAGUUAGGACAUGUGCAUUAUUCUUACAAAAAGAAAAAUAGCAAACAUUAAGUUGAUACCUAAAAUUUUGUUUAGAAAAUUAUAGGAAGUGUGAAAGUUGUGUAGAAUCUAAAAAUACUAGGAAAACUUGUCAAUACAAAAGGCAAACAAAAUUCUUGAGUCUUAAUCAAAGAGACUUAUGAGAUUUAAAAGAUAUAAUGACUAGAAGUGGUAUAAGAUUUUCAUAACCUUUAUAGCAUUGUGAUAGCCAAGCUACAUACAACAACAAAGGCUAUGAGUAAAAUAUAUAAUUAAAGAAUGAACUUAUGUGCUUAACUAACAAUAUUAUGUAACAACUACUUAAGAUAUAUAUUAUAUCCCUAGAUUUUAUGAUGUUAGAUUUGAAUUUGAUUGCUCCACUACAAAGGCAACUAAAUAUAUAUUAAGGUAAUGGAAGAAACACCAAGGGCAAUGAGGUUUAUGUCUAACAUAUAGUAACCCAACCAACAUGAAUGGAGAUCUCAAGAAGUAAUUUCAUAUGGGUAAUGAUAAGUCACUUGUUGACUAUAUCAUGCACCAUUGGUUAUUUAAUUAUUUGUAAGAGUCCAUUCCUAUGAUGUAGAUGGUGUAUACUCUACAAUGGUUGACGGUAAGUGCAUUCUCUUAAUUAAUACCAUAUUCCUUAGGAAUGACCUGUUUAGUUGUAGAAUGCACUUGAUGGAUUCACCUAUACGAGAGUAGAAGCAGGACCAUUUUUCUAUAAGAACUUAGCCAAGUUCUUUAUGGCUUUUAUGACUACCUAGAAAAGUUUCAAAGCUUAUUCAUGCUAGCCUUCUUGCACAACUAUGAGUAAAUAAAGCAAUGUCGAUGGUGGCUCCUUGAUCCACAAUAAGAAUGUUUAUAGAAAAUUAAAUUUUCAUCAAAGUUUUGUGGUUCAUAACUUCUCAUUGUAAGGUAAGUUUGAUGCAUUGAGUUCUUAUGUUUCUUCGGCCAUUAUAGUACCUUUUUUUUUCUACUACCAUGCAAUGUAUGGGGGAUUGAGAGAAGGUUGCCUAAGUCUUUAUAUCCCACAUAGGAAGUGGAUGAGAAUAGGAAGUACAAAAAAUAAAAUAAAAUAAAAUAAUAUUCGUCACAGUUUUGUUGCUGAUGUAUUUCCUAAAAAUCAACAAUUGUUUCCUAAAAACAUCGAAAAUAUUUUUCACUUAAAAAUAGCAAUAUAUUAAACUCCAAUAAAAGAAAAAAACUUUCUCCUUCACAAAAAAGAAAAAAAGACCUAUAUGGAGAAUGAAAGAGUCAUAUUAUGAAAACAUAAAGAGUUGAUCGAUCUUCCACUAUUUUGCAAUCUCUCUCAUGUUUUUCUUUUUCAAGGAAUACUCUUGAGUAGUUGUAUUACUGCUUGUGAUUGGAGUUCACCAUCACAAAUAGUAGGAUGUUGUCCUUGGAGAUAGACCACCAUUGUUCCCCGUAUUACACCGGGCGAAAUCUAUUUAAAGGCAAUGGUUACCCGCCUUAACAAAUUGUGCCACAGGUUCUCUUCUUCAUAUUUUGUUUUUGCAGUUUUAUUCCACUAUUCAUGUUUGGCUUUUGAAAUUUUUAUAUUUUGGUUUCCUACAUUUAUUUGCCCCUUAUUAUUUGCUUGUGUUUGUUAGGGUUACUCUGAUUUAAAUGAUAAUUUUCAACUAUUGAUUUCCAGCAAGGGACACCUACAAGAUCCUAAGAUUUUUCUUUUGUUGUUAAAGAAAGUGAUAACGUGUGCUAAUAAUUAAUUAAGUACAUUUCAAAGAUGAUGUAUUACACAAUUGAAUGAAUCCCAAUUUAGUUGAGACAAAAAUAUUCACUUACUUUAAGCUGGGAGUUAAUAGUUAUAUAAUAUUCCAAUAAUUUUGGUCUGAUAUAGGCCGUGAUUUGCUUUCAACACCCUCUUAUGAAAUCUAUGAAAUAUCAUGAUAAUACACUAAAAUUCUUUUCUAAUGGUUGGGCAUUCAAUCAUCAAGCAUCCAUUGUUUUAUAUGAUGAGAAACCAUUCUCUUAUAUUUAUGGAUGACACGGUACGGUGAUGCACCAAAGAGGACAAGAACAUCCUCCUAAUACUACAAAUAAUUUAGGAUUCCAGACACGAACUAGCUAGAGAUUUAUAUACAUAAGAGAACAAUUCUAGUAAUAAUUUAACCAACUAAUAUUAAACAAAGUAGCUGAUGGAGAUGGGUCCAAAUCACAACAUUUUAAUUUCCAAGGCACGUAGAUAAGCGUAUUGAAGGUUUUACUUGGCAGUAUUAUUCGAGAUCAGUGUGCUAUGGGAGGGAAUUUUUCCUAUAUAAACCCCUGCUGCAAUCUCCGAGUGUAUCAAUCUGCUUACUCAUUUAAUUCAUCAAUCCCUACUGCUUCCAAUAUCAUGGCUUCUGUUAACCAGUACCAAUACAUCUGUUUGGCUUUGCUCUUCUUUCUGGCUGCUUGGGCAUCUCAAGCCACAGCCCGCAACCUUCUUGAGGCAUCAAUGUAUGAGAGACAUGAGGAUUGGAUGGCUCAGUAUGGGCGUGUAUAUAAGGAUGCUGAUGAGAAAAGCAAGCGCUACAAGAUAUUCAAGGAUAAUGUGGCACGUAUAGAAUCUUUCAACAAGGCCAUGGACAAAUCUUACAAGCUGAGCAUCAAUGAAUUUGCAGAUCUCACCAACGAAGAGUUCAGAGCCUCCCGAAAUAGAUUCAAGGCCCACAUCUGCUCCACCGAAGCAACUUCUUUCAAAUAUGAGCAUGUUGCUGCAGUGCCAUCUACUGUCGAUUGGAGAAAGAAAGGAGCUGUUACACCCAUCAAGGACCAAGGCCAAUGCGGUAAGUGAAAAUAUUUUUGUAGUAUGGUUUGAAAUUGAUGUUUUUCUCACUUUUUUACGAUAAAAAAAUGCAGGGUCUUGCUGGGCAUUUUCGGCUGUGGCAGCUAUGGAAGGAAUUACUCAGCUAUCAACUGGGAAGCUAAUCUCUCUUUCUGAACAAGAGCUGGUUGACUGUGACACUAGUGGGGAAGAUCAAGGCUGCAAUGGUGGUCUAAUGGACGAUGCCUUCAAAUUCAUAGAACAAAAUCAUGGUCUCGCCACCGAAGCUAACUACCCCUACGCGGGAACUGAUGGCACCUGCAACCGCAAGAAGGCAGCCCACCCUGCAGCCAAGAUAAAUGGGUAUGAAGAUGUGCCAGCCAACAAUGAGAAGGCUCUGCAAAAGGCUGUUGCCCACCAACCUAUUGCUGUUGCCAUUGAUGCUGGGGGGUUUGAGUUCCAAUUCUAUUCAAGUGGUGUGUUUACAGGACAGUGUGGCACAGAACUAGACCACGGUGUUGCUGCUGUUGGUUACGGAACCAGCGAUGAUGGGAUGAAGUAUUGGCUGGUGAAGAACUCAUGGGGCACAGGAUGGGGUGAAGUAGGUUACAUACGGAUGCAAAGGGAUGUGACUGCAAAGGAAGGUCUCUGUGGAAUUGCAAUGCAAGCAUCUUACCCCACCGCAUAAAAUUAAUUGAAAAAAGGCAAUCCCUACUAUCCUGUGGUUAAUCAAUUACAAGAUAUGUUGCGCUGAUAAUUUCUAGUCUAUAGUUGUGUAUAAUUCAGCAAGGAUGCCCUGUGGUCAAAAGAGUCCAUAAAAUUAUGUAUGGACCAUAAUAUAUAAAUAUGAACGUACACCUUCAGUUGGUUCCUUCCUAUUUCUGUGUUUUGAAUGAGAAAUGACAGGGGAUCUCAUACUAAAAGUAUCAGACUAAAUAAAGUAAAAGAAUAAGGAUGGAAAAUGACACCAAAAAAAGAAAGACAAUUUU